GACGAACCGUGCGAACGUUGUUCGGAAUCAUUGGGCGUAAAGGGCGCGUAGGCGGGCUGCCAAGUCCGGGGUGAAAUCCUCCAGCUUAACUGGAGAACUGCCCCGGAUACUGGAUGUCUCGAGGAGGGUAGGGGCGUGCGGAACUGUGGGUGGAGCGGUGAAAUGCGUUGAUAUCCACAGGAACUCCAGUGGCGAAGGCGGCGUGCUGGACCGUUACUGACGCUGAGGCGCGAAAGCCAGGGGAGCAAACGGG
rnacentral:rRNA from 1 species